UCCUGAUUAGUUCAAUGGUAGAAUGGUAUGCAUAGGUACUGGAUGAGGGUUCGAAUCCCUCAUCAGGAG
rnacentral:tRNA from 1 species